UUCCUUGGAACAGGACGUCACAGAGGGUGAGAAUCCCGUACGUGACCGGUGGUCAACCCCAUGUGAGGCUCCUUCGACGAGUCGAGUUGUUUGGGAAUGCAGCUCUAAAUGGGUGGUAAAUUUCAUCUAAAGCUAAAUAUUGGCCAGAGACCGAUAGCGCACAAGUAGAGUGAUCGAAAGAUGAAAAGCACUUUGGAAAGAGAGUUAAAAAGUACGUGAAAUUGUUGAAAGGGAAGCGCUUGCAACCAGACUUGCCCGCGGGUGAUCAACCGUCCUUCGGGGCGGUGCACUCGCCCGCGAUCAGGCCAGUAUCGGUUUCGGCAGCCGGACAAAGACUUCGGGAACGUAGCUCCUCUCGGGGAGUGUUAUAGCCCGUCGUGUAAUACGGUUCGCCGGGACCGAGGACCGCGCUUCGGCUAGGAUACUGGCGUAAUGGUUGUCAGCGACCCGUCUUGAAACACGGACCAAGGAGUCUAACAUCUAUGCGAGUGUUUGGGUGUUAAACCCAUGCGCGCAAUGAAAGUGAACGGAGGUGGGAACCCUUCGGGGGGCACCAUCGACCGAUCCUGAUGUCUUCGGAUGGAUUUGAGUACGAGCAUAGCUGUUGGGACCCGAAAGAUGGUGAACUAUGCGUGAAUAGGGUGAAGCCAGAGGAAACUCUGGUGGAGGCUCGCAGCGGUUCUGACGUGCAAAUCGAUCGUCAAAUUUGCGUAUAGGGGCGAAAGACUAAUCGAACCAUCUAGGUGGUUAAUCAUAGGUACUUGAACUGUGCCUUAAGAGUCCGUUUCGGCGGACGAUACCGUUAAAUGUAUGGAUUACAGGGCUCAGGCCCCGUAAAACAUGCAGCAUUUCGAGUUUUGCUCGGAAUGUUACAGACCAAACAACGGUGGCCGAUUUGAAUCCAUCGGCUUUAAGAUGGCCGAGACCGCCUUUUUAAAACCGAAGGUGUGAUCCGAAAGAGAAAUUCAUGACCUUGCGGGGGGGCUGUUCGCGGCCGCUGAUACACGCAAGGCAUGGCAAGGCGAGCUUUGAUAUUGACAUGUCAGUACUGACUGCUCGUGAUUUCUUUGGCGGAUCGUGUAAAUCGCUAGUAGCUGGUUCCUGCCGAAGUUUCCCUCAGGAUAGCAGUAACGUUUUCAGUUUUAUGAGGUAAAGCGAAUGAUUAGAAGCCUUGGGGCAGAAACUGCCUUAACUUAUUCUCAAACUUUAAAUAUGUAAGAAGUCCUUGUUACUUAGUUGAACGUGGACAUUUGAAUGCACCGUUACUAGUGGGCCAUUUUUGGUAAGCAGAACUGGCGAUGCGGGAUGAACCGAACGUGAGGUUAAGGUGCCGGAAUAUACGCUCAUCAGACACCAUUUUGUGGUGUCGAUCCCCCGGGGCUCGCGUGCCCCGGCUGAGUCGCCUGGACCCAGGCGGCGAGGUCUCCGAUCUACGAGGAGUGCUGGGCAUCAGCUCACCCGUAGCCCCGCGACACGUCGCGGGGCCCACAGAUCAAGGGCAGGCCGGUGGACCCCCUCGCGGGUCCGCUCGAGAUAUGACCGUUCCCCAGGUGCAAGCCCAGGGACGAAGAGCAAAAGGUGUUAAUUCAUCUAGACAGCCGGACGGUGGCCAUGGAAGUCGGAAUCCGCUAAGGAGUGUGUAACAACUCACCGGCCGAAUGA
rnacentral:rRNA from 1 species